UUGAUCAUUACCUAUAUCCUCCUGGUUUUGUUCAAUUCCUUCAUUGUCAUGUAGUCCAGUUGUAGCUUGAUCAGAGCUAGCAUUACUGCUACUUGUGAUGGAGGAGUUUCUGGAGAUUAUAGAAUGAUGUGUGGUGCUUGUUUUUCCAGCGUAGAAGGUUGAACUGGGGACACUUGAUAAGAGAGGCCUGAACAUAUUCUGGGGAG
rnacentral:misc_RNA from 1 species